rnacentral:rRNA from 1 species
AUUGAACGCUGGCGGCAUGCCUUACACAUGCAAGUCGAACGGCAGCACGGGAGCAAUCCUGGUGGCGAGUGGCGAACGGGUGAGUAAAGUAUCGGAACGUGCCCAGUCGUGGGGGAUAACGUAGCGAAAGUUACGCUAAUACCGCAUACGAUCUACGGAUGAAAGCGGGGGAUCGCAAGACCUCGCGCGAUUGGAGCGGCUGAUAUCUGAUUAGGUAGUUGGUGGGGUAAAGGCUCACCAAGCCGACGAUCUGUAGCUGGUCUGAGAGGACGACCAGCCACACUGGGACUGAGACACGGCCCAGACUCCUACGGGAGGCAGCAGUGGGGAAUUUUGGACAAUGGGCGCAAGCCUGAUCCAGCCAUGCCGCGUGCAGGAUGAAGGCCUUCGGGUUGUAAACUGCUUUUGUACGGAACGAAAAGGUUUGGCCUAAUAAGCUGGACCCAUGACGGUACCGUAAGAAUAAGCACCGGCUAACUACGUGCCAGCCGCCGCCGUAA